CUUUCAUUGUGAAGAAAAGUUAAAGGUUAAUAACCUUAGCCUUGACGUUAACUUUAGAAGAAGCACCGGCUAACUCCGUGCCGCAGCCGCGGUAAUACGGAGGGGCAAGCGUUAAUCGGAAUUACUGGGCGUAAAGCGUGCGUAGGUGGUUUGUUAAGUUAGAUGUGAAAGCCCUGGGCUAACCUGGGAACUGCAUUUAAACUGGUAAACUAGAGUAUGGGAGAGGAAAGUGGAAUUUCUGGUGUAGCGGUGAAAUGCGUAGAUAUCUGAAGGAACAUCAAUGGCGAAGGCAGCUUUCUGGACUAAUACUGACACUGAGGUACGAAAG
rnacentral:rRNA from 1 species